UUUUAUUUGGGGGAAAAUGCUCCUGAUAAGGUGCUGCAUUCAAUCUAUGCUAAGUUGGAAAAUUUCAAAGUCCAGGGUGAUCAAUUUGCCAUGAAGAUUAUGGAGAGGCUGAAGUUAAUUUGAUAUUUGACUCCUGCACGGAGAAAAAAGAGAUGG